rnacentral:rRNA from 1 species
UACGAAGGGGGCUAGCGUUGCUCGGAAUCACUGGGCGUAAAGCGCACGUAGGCGGCUUGUUAAGUCAGGGGGUGAAAUCCUGGAGCUCAACUCCAGAACUGCCUUUGAUACUGGGGAUCUCGAGUCCGGGAGAGGUGAGUGGAACUGCGAGUGUAGAGGUGAAAUUCGUAGAUAUCGCAAGAACACCAGUGGCGAAGGCGGCUCACUGGCCCGGAACUGACGCUGAGGUGCGAAAGCGUGGGGAGCAAACAGG